UACGUAGGGUGCGAGCGUUGUCCGGAAUUAUUGGGCGUAAAGAGCUCGUAGGCGGUGUGUCGCGUCGGCCGUGAAAACUUGCAGCUUAACUGUGGGCGUGCGGUCGAUACGGGCAUCACUGGAGUUCGGCAGGGGAGACUGGAAUUCCUGGUGUAGCGGUGAAAUGCGCAGAUAUCAGGAGGAACACCGGUGGCGAAGGCGGGUCUCUGGGCCGUAACUGACGCUGGAGGAGCGGAAAGCGUUGGGGAGCGAACAGG
rnacentral:rRNA from 1 species